CACGUAGGCGGCUUUGUAAGUUAGAGGUGAAAGCCCAGGGCUCAACCCUGGAAUUGCCUUUAAGACUGCAUCGCUCGAAUCAUGGAGAGGUGAGUGGAAUUCCGAGUGUAGAGGUGAGAUUCGUAGAUAUUCGGAAGAACACCAGUGGCGAAGGCGACUCACUGGACAUGUAUUGACGCUGAGGUGCGAAAGCGUGGGAGCAAACA
rnacentral:rRNA from 1 species